rnacentral:tRNA from 1 species
AAGGGUAUAGCUCAGUGGUAGAGGGCAUGCUUAGCAUGCACGAGGUCCUGGAUUCAAUCUCCAGUACCUCCA